rnacentral:rRNA from 1 species
GAAUAGGGCGAGUGAGUAUGUAGUUGUAGACCCGAAACCAGGUGAUCUACCCAUGUCCAGGGUGAAGGUAAGGUAACACUUACUGGAGGCCCGAACCCACGCACGUUGAAAAGUGCGGGGAUGAGGUGUGGGUAGCGGAGAAAUUCCAAUCGAACCUGGAGAUAGCUGGUUCUCUCCGAAAUAGCUUUAGGGCUAGCCUCAAGAUAGAGAAUCCUGGAGGUAGAGCACUGUUUGGACUAGGGGCCCAUCCCGGGU